rnacentral:other from 1 species
UAUAAUCUAGAGCGUGCGAGAGUUAUUAUAUGCUGACCGAACAUAAUUUUUAAGAUGAGCAAAGCAUAGCUGGUGUCGAAAGCUUAACAUAGAUUAAGAAUCCUGAAGGCUAUGUGGGAUCAUAAUUUUGUAAGGAGCUGGUCUCCUAAAAAUAAUAUCGGCGUUCUGGAUCUUUU